CAGUGGCAUUCUGGUCGAAGCAACUAAGGGAAGCAGAUAAAGGUAAGCUGACAGAAAAAGGGUGAAGAGAGGGAGAAGACAGGCAGCAAAGGUUGCCUGGAGGUCGCAUGCAGCAAAGGUCGAUCGGUUUUACCCCCGCGCCACCACCACCCCCCAGCUCAAGGGGGCAGAGUCGGUGGUAAAUGACAGUCAGCCAAGUAGAAGAGGAAGAAGGAUUUUUUGUUCAAUGGUUAGACGGAGACCUCAUGGCUGUGCAAUGUUUGGUCAGUCCUGCUGUUUGGUAAUAAAGACGAACUCAUU